UACAGGGGGGGCAAGCGUUGUUCGGAAUUACUGGGCGUAAAGGGCUCGUAGGUGGCCAACUAAGUCAGACGUGAAAUCCCUCGGCUUAACCGGGGAACUGCGUCUGAUACUGGAUGGCUUGAGUUCGGGAGAGGGAUGCGGAAUUCCAGGUGUAGCGGUGAAAUGCGUAGAUAUCUGGAGGAACACCGGUGGCGAAGGCGGCAUCCUGGACCGACACUGACACUGAGGAGCGAAAGCAUGGGGAGCAAACAGG
rnacentral:rRNA from 1 species